AAACGCUGUAUGCUUGGAAACUUGCUUGUACGGUGUUGUGCGAGGCUCAAAAAAAACCUAAUUAUUAAUCAAUAAUUAAGGCGUUUUGUUUCUAUCGCGAU
rnacentral:ncRNA from 1 species